CAGGGAGAGUACUGACUCCCUUAGAAUUUCUGUGCAUGCUGACUGGGCCGCAUAUGCUAGUGGCUAUUUACUUCUCUCCCCAGUACCUAAUAAGAAAGGAUAAACAGUGACAGAAAAAAGGAUGGCAGGAUUUGAAUGCCAUUCACUGAGGUGCAGAGAAAGAGAGAGAGAGAGAGAGAGAGAACUUGAUGGCCUCCACUUAUGGCCUUCUGGUUUGGAAAUUCUGGAUUAUUUGUAUGAUUUCAAUACCUAGAAUAAUAGAACUGAGAAACAGAAAUUAUCAUCACAACAUCAGAUAUUUUGUGAGGUGCAUAGAGGAAAGGCUACACGAGGACACAGGGAGAAGCUAGAUGUAUGCACGUCAGGAAGAGAAGACUCACCAGAAAGCAAACAACCUUGUGGCACCUGGAUCUUGGACUUCCGGCCUCCAGAACUGUGAGAAGAUAAAUGUCUGCUGUUUAAGCCACUCAGGCUGU